rnacentral:rRNA from 1 species
AUACGGAGGGUGCAAGCGUUAUCCGGAAUCAUGGGGUUUAAAGGGUCCGCAGGCGGAUUAAUAAGUCAGUGGUGAAAUCCUCUCGCUCAACGAGAGAACUGCCAUUGAAACUGUUAGUCUUGAAUUCGGUCGAAGUAGGCGGAAUGUGUCAUGUAGCGGUGAAAUGCAUAGAUAUGACACAGAACACCGAUAGCGAAGGCAGCUUACUAGACCUGGAUUGACGCUCAUGGACGAAAGCGUGGGGAGCGAACAGGAUUAGAAACCCUGGUAGUCC